UACUGUUUUCCGGCGACGGAUAUCGGAGAGGAGCUCUUUGUGUCCUCGUCGAAAAUUCUCGUUGGCGAAUUCCCAUUUGUCUGGCACGAUCUUUCGAAAGCCAUAGGUAUUGAGUUGACGAACAAAGCUAGAGAAGUUGUUGUGCUUGAAGUAAUUAGGAAGCAAAUCCUUGGCAAAAUCUGCAGUUUUCCAAACCACAAAAGUGGUGCCAGUUUCAUUCCAGGAAAUCACAUCA
rnacentral:misc_RNA from 1 species